GUCCGGAUGGUGUAGUCGGUUAUCACAUUCGCCUCACACGCGAAAGGUCCCCAGUUCGAACCUGGGUUCGGACA
rnacentral:tRNA from 1 species